AGUGAACGCUGGCGGUAGGCCUAACACAUGCAAGUCGAACGGCAGCACAGGAGAGCUUGCUCUCUGGGUGGCGAGUGGCGGACGGGUGAGGAAUACAUCGGAAUCUACUCUGCCGUGGGGGAUAACGUAGGGAAACUUACGCUAAUACCGCAUACGACCUACGGGUGAAAGCAGGGGAUCUUCGGACCUUGCGCGAUUGAAUGAGCCGAUGUCGGAUUAGCUAGUUGGCGGGGUAAAGGCCCACCAAGGCGACGAUCCGUAGCUGGUCUGAGAGGAUGAUCAGCCACACUGGAACUGUGACACGGUCCAGACUCCUACGGGAGGCAGCAGUGGGGAAUAUUGGACAAUGGGCGCAAGCCUGAUCCAGCCAUACCGCGUGGGUGAAGAAGGCCUUCGGGUUGUAAAGCCCUUUUGUUGGGAAAGAAAUCCAGCUGGCUAAUACCCGGUUGGGAUGACGGUACCCAAAGAAUAAGCACCGGCUAACUUCGUGCCAGCCGCCGCGGUAA
rnacentral:rRNA from 1 species